rnacentral:rRNA from 1 species
UACGUAGGGUGCAAGCGUUGUCCGGAAUUAUUGGGCGUAAAGAGCUCGUAGGCGGUCUGUCGCGUCGGCUGUGAAAUCCCGGAGCUCAACUCCGGGUCUGCAGUCGAUACGGGCAAACUGGAGUUCGGCAGGGGAGACUGGAAUUCCUGGUGUAGCGGUGAAAUGCGCAGAUAUCAGGAGGAACACCGGUGGCGAAGGCGGGUCUCUGGGCCGAUACUGACGCUGAGGAGCGAAAGCGUGGGGAGCGAACAGG